rnacentral:rRNA from 1 species
GGAUAGAGGCCUACCAUGGUGGUAACGGGUAACGGGGUGUUAGGGCACGACACCGGAGAGGGAGCCUGAGAAACGGCUACCACAUCCAAGGAUGGCAGCAGGCGCGCAAAUUACCCAAUCCCGACACGGGGAGGUAGUGACAAUAAAUAACAAUACGGGGUUCUUUCGGAUCUCGUAAUUGGAAUGAGUACAAUUUAAAUCUCUUAACGAGGAACAAUUGGAGGGCAAGUCUGGUGCCAGCAGCCGCGGUAAUUCCAGCUCCAAUAGCGUAUAUUAAAGUUGUUGCAGUUAAAAAGCUCGUAGUUGAAUUUCGGGGUUAGUAGGUUGGUCAUGCCUCUGGUAUGUACUGAUCUCACUGAUUCCUCCUUCCUUAUGAACCGUAAUGCCAUUAAUUUGGUGUUGCGGGGAAUUUGGACUGUUACUUUGAAAAAAUUAGAGUGUUUAAAGCAGGCUAACGCUUGAAUACAUUAGCAUGGAAUAAUGAAAUAGGACGUUCGAUCUUAUUUUGUUGGUUUCUAGGAUUGACGUAAUGAUUAAUAGGGAUAGUUGGGGGCAUUAGUAUUCAAUUGUCAGAGGUGAAAUUCUUGGAUUUAUUGAAGACUAACUACUGCGAAAGCAUUUGCCAAGGAUGUUUUCAUUAAUCAAGAACGAAAGUUAGGGGAUCGAAGACGAUCAGAUACCGUCGUAGUCUUAACCAUAAACUAUGCCGACUAGGGAUCGGAUGA